GCACAAGCGGUGGAGCAUGUGGUUUAAUUCGACGCAACGCGAAGAACCUUACCAGGGCUUGACAUCUACAGAAUCCUGAGGAAACUCAGGAGUGCCCUUCGGGAACUGUAAGACAGGUGGUGCAUGGUUGUCGUCAGCUCGUGUCGUGAGAUGUUGGGUUAAGUCCCGCAACGAGCGCAACCCUCGACCUUAGUUGCCAGCAUUCAGUUGGGCACUCUAAGGUGACUGCCGGCUAAAAGUCGGAGGAAGGUGGGGAUGGCGUCAAAUCAUCAUGCCCCUUAUGACCUGGGCUACACACGUGCUACAAUGGGCGGUACAAAGGGUCGCGAACCCGCGAGGGGGAGCCAAUCCCAAAAAGCCGCUCUCAGUUCGGAUUGCAGGCUGCAACUCGCCUGCAUGAAGCCGGAAUCGCUAGUAAUCGCGGAUCAGCAUGCCGCGGUCGAAUACGUUCCCGGGCCUU
rnacentral:rRNA from 1 species